CUUCAUCACUGGGAUUUGGAGAGGCCUGCUUGCUAGCCUCUUGCCCUGUGACCAUGGCCCCUGGGAUGUAUUGCCAUUUAAAAGCUUUAUUUGGGCAUAUUGGAUUUUAAAACACUUUUUCUGCCCCUUUAAAUGCAUGGGAAAAUGUGCCUCUGCCCCUCCCCGUUUUUCCUGUCCUAUUGUUUCUUCAGUAGGGCGUUGUCCCAGAGACACUGCCAGAC